GGUUCAUAAAAAAAAAUUUAAUAAAUUUGAAAUUAAACUAAAAGGACGCGGUAACCUUGACCGUGAUAAUGUAGCAUAAUCACUCGCCAUUUAAUUGAUGGAUAGUAUGAAUGGUUGAACGAAUAUUCCACUGUCUUAAAAAAAGCUAAAAAAAAUUGAAGUAAUAGUAAAGAUGCUAUUAUAAACUGUAAGACGAAAAGACCCUAUAGAGCUUAACUAUAUUCUCUUUAUUUUUAAAAUAAAAUAAUUUAUUAGAUUAAAGAGAUUGGUAGUUUAGUUGGGGCGACUGUUUUCUAAAAAAAACGAAAACAAGCAAUAUUAAUAUUUAAUUUAUUGUAUAAUUAAAAAAUUUAACAAUUACAAAAGUAGGCUAUAAUGACCCGUUACUACUAUAAAAUAAGAGUAACGAUCAAUUAAUAAAAGCUACCUUAGGGAUAACAGGAUAAUUUCAUUUUAGAGUCCAAAUCGAAAAUGAAGUUUGUCACCUCUAUGUUGAAUUAA
rnacentral:rRNA from 1 species